GACGAACGCUGGCGGCGUGCCUAAUACAUGCAAGUAGAACGCUGAAGGAGGAGCUUGCUUCUCUGGAUGAGUUGCGAACGGGUGAGUAACGCGUAGGUAACCUGCCUGGUAGCGGGGGAUAACUAUUGGAAACGAUAGCUAAUACCGCAUAAGAGUAGAUGUUGCAUGACAUUUGCUUAAAAGGUGCAAUUGCAUCACUACCAGAUGGACCUGCGUUGUAUUAGCUAGUUGGUGGGGUAACGGCUCACCAAGGCGACGAUACAUAGCCGACCUGAGAGGGUGAUCGGCCACACUGGGACUGAGACACGGCCCAGACUCCUACGGGAGGCAGCAGUAGGGAAUCUUCGGCAAUGGACGGAAGUCUGACCGAGCAACGCCGCGUGAGUGAAGAAGGUUUUCGGAUCGUAAAGCUCUGUUGUAAGAGAAGAACGAGUGUGAGAGUGGAAAGUUCACACUGUGACGGUAUCUUACCAGAAAGGGACGGCUAACUACGUGCCAGCAGCCGCGGUAAUACGUAGGUGGCAAGCGUUAUCCGGAUUUAUUGGGCGUAAAGAGAGUGCAGGCGGUUUUCUAAGUCUGAUGUGAAAGCCUUCGGCUUAACCGGAGAAGUGCAUCGGAAACUGGAUAACUUGAGUGCAGAAAGAGGGUAGUGGAACUCCAUGUGUAGCGGUGGGAAUGCGUAGAUAUAUGGGAAGAACACCAGUGGCCAAGGCGGCUACCUGGUCUGCGACUGACGCUGAGACUCGAAGUCAUGGGGUGGCGAACAGG
rnacentral:rRNA from 1 species